ACCCAGCAGGCUGGCCAGUAGCCUUGAGCAACAAAUUCGACUGAGAAUAUUCAGUUAGUCAGAUUCGUGACCGAAUCCACAACCUAGAGUCAACUACACAUUACAAAAUUGAAGCGUAGCAAAGAGCGACACGAGCGGACAACCGGACAAGAGUGCGGCGCUCAAGGCUAAGUCAGAAGACAGCGAGUUUCUGGAUGAGGGGUUCAAGGCCGUCUUUUUUGACUUGGAGGAUGAAGAAGAGGGGACCACCAGCUAUUCGAUAAGCAAUUCGCUGUCGGCAAUGCCAGGGAUUCCAGCAGCAGGCACAGAUACACAAGCUCAAGAAGAUGGUAAAAUCGAAGUCGCCCGAGCAGGACAACAUGGCCCAGCAGGCCGCAGAAACACGCAAGAAGCUGGAGGAGGAGCUGAAACGUGCGUCAGCAUGGAGCAGCAGCUGAAGCGAGCCUGUCAGGAGAAGCAGCAAUCGAAGGAUCUACCGGACACUGCGCGAAAAGUGAAAAUCGUUAGUCAUGUGCUUAUACUUCAAGUUAAUCACAUCAAAAAUUUCUUCGAUGGAGGCUGGAUGCUUGAUAUCCGACACCACUUGAACAGUGGGCACAGAGGAUUGCGAGAAUGGAGAUACAGUCAGGUUUUUGUUGUAGCGUAACUUCAUCUUGUUGCAGGUUUUAGAUUAUAUUUUACGCUUUUUCGA